GACGAACGCUGGCGGCGUGCUUAACACAUGCAAGUCGAGCGGAAAGGCCCUUCGGGGUACUCGAGCGGCGAACGGGUGAGUAACACGUGAGUAACCUGCCCCAGACUUUGGGAUAACCCUCGGAAACGGGGGCUAAUACCGGAUACGACACAGCUUCGCAUGGGGUCUGUGUGGAAAGUUUUUCGGUUUGGGAUGGGCUCGCGGCCUAUCAGCUUGUUGGUGGGGUGAUGGCCUACCAAGGCGACGACGGGUAGCCGGCCUGAGAGGGCGACCGGCCACACUGGGACUGAGACACGGCCCAGACUCCUACGGGGGGCAGCAGUGGGGAAUAUUGCACAAUGGGCGGAAGCCUGAUGCAGCGACGCCGCGUGAGGGAUGACGGCCUUCGGGUUGUAAACCUCUUUCAGCAGGGACGAAGCGUAAGUGACGGUACCUGCAGAAGAAGCGCCGGCCAACUACGUG
rnacentral:rRNA from 1 species